rnacentral:misc_RNA from 1 species
AUUAAGAGACGAUGAUAAUAUUUUUUUCUUGUUCCGAUAAUUUUAACAAACGCGAAACACCACCGCCCUUCCCUUCCCUUCCCUCACCAAAAGUAAUGGACGCUUAUGCACCAUCACCACGAUGACGAAGACGAAGAUGAAGAAGACGACGACGACGAUGACUACGAAAACGAACUAUAACGACGAACUAUGACGACGACGGGUAGUAAAAAUUUUUAUGUAUAGCCCUGCAAUAAGAAUCUUAACAACCGUGACGUUGUUUUUAUCCGUAGCUAAUUCAGUAGUAUAUAUGUACAUGUAUACAUAGGUUCACAUUCACCUCGAUACACACGUACAUACGCGACGUGUAUAUAUAGUGAUACAUAAAGUUGCAUCGGCCAUCAUGCUGCAGCAAAUCGAAAAGUUAAGAGCUCGCGGUCACCAUUUUUUGAUAUACGUACACCGAACAUUCGUAUGCGUACGUAUGUGUAUACAUAUUUAAUAUUAAUUUUUUAUUAUAUUUCACUUUACGU